UUCGCCCUUAGAGUUUGAUCCUGGCUCAGGAUGAACGCUGGCGGCGUGCUUAACACAUGCAAGUCGAACGGGGCACCCCUGAAGGAGUUUUCGGACAACUGAAGGGAAUGCUUAGUGGCGGACGGGUGAGUAACGCGUGAGUAACCUGCCUUGGAGUGGGGAAUAACAGUUGGAAACAGCUGCUAAUACCGCAUGAUGCAGUUGAGUCGCAUGGCUCUGACUGCCAAAGAUUUAUCGCUCUGAGAUGGACUCGCGUCUGAUUAGCUAGUUGGCGGGGUAACGGCCCACCAAGGCGACGAUCAGUAGCCGGACUGAGAGGUUGGCCGGCCACAUUGGGACUGAGACACGGCCCAGACUCCUACGGGAGGCAGCAGUGGGGAAUAUUGGGCAAUGGGCGCAAGCCUGACCCAGCAACGCCGCGUGAAGGAAGAAGGCUUUCGGGUUGUAAACUUCUUUUCUCAGGGACGAAGAAAGUGACGGUACCUGAGGAAUAAGCCACGGCUAACUACGUGCCAGCAGCCGCGGUAAUACGUAGGUGGCAAGCGUUAUCCGGAUUUACUGGGUGUAAAGGGCGUGUAGGCGGGAGUGCAAGUCAGAUGUGAAAACAACGGGCUCAACCUGUGGCCUGCAUUUGAAACUGUACUUCUUGAGUACUGGAGAGGCAGACGGAAUUCCUAGUGUAGCGGUGAAAUGCGUAGAUAUUAGGAGGAACACCAGUGGCGAAGGCGGUCUGCUGGACAGCAACUGACGCUGAGGCGCGAAAGCGUGGGGAGCAAACAGGAUUAGAUACCCUGGUAGUCCACGCUGUAAACGAUGGAUACUAGGUGGGGGGGGACUGACCCCCUCCGUGCCGCAGUUAACACAAUAAGUAUCCCACCUGGGGGAGUACGAUCGCAAGGUUGAAACUCAAAGGAAUUGACGGGGGCCCGCACAAGCGGUGGAGUAUGUGGUUUAAUUCGAAGCAACGCGAAGAACCUUACCAGGGCCUGACAUCCCGAGGCCAGACCUAGAGAUAGGUCCUUCUCUUCGGAGACCUCGGUGACAGGUGGUGCAUGGUUGUCGUCAGCUCGUGUUGUGAGAUGUUGGGUUAAGUCCCGCAACGAGCGCAACCCUUAUUGUUAGUUGCUACGCAAGAGCACUCUAGCGAGACUGCCGUUGAAAAAACGGAGGAAGGUGGGGACGACGUCAAAUCAUCAUGCCCCUUAUGUCCUGGGCCACACACGUACUACAAUGGUGGUCAACAGAGGGAAGCAAAACCGCGAGGUGGAGCAAAUCCCUAAAAGCCAUCCCAGUUCGGAUCGCAGGCUGCAACCCGCCUGCGUGAAGUUGGAAUCGCUAGUAAUCGCGGAUCAGCAUGCCGCGGUGAAUACGUUCCCGGGCCUUGCACACACCGCCCGUCA
rnacentral:rRNA from 1 species